ensembl:snoRNA
CUGGUUCUGAAUCCAGGCCAGCAGUUUUCUGAAUCUGUUGAUUUCAAGCAGGAGCCUAAAGAGAUAUCUUUGUAUGAUCUGUUGGCUGUUUUUGAACUUUAGAAGUGUAAUGAUCAGUUCUUUAGAAAGAAAUAACU